rnacentral:ncRNA from 1 species
CUAUGUCUUGCAAUAUUAGACAUGGCGGAAGGAG